rnacentral:rRNA from 1 species
GAUGAACGCUGGCGGCGUGCCUAAUACAUGCAAGUCGAGCGAACAGACGAUGAGCUUGUUCCUUUGUCGUUAGCGGCGGACGGGUGAGUAACACGUGGAUAACCUACCUAUCUUUCUGGGAUAAUUUCGGGAAACCGGCUCUAAUACCGGAUAACCUGUUGAACCGCAUGGUUCAACAGUUAAUGACGGCCUUUCUGUCUCUUUUAGCUGCUUCCCCGCCGCAUUAUAUAGUUGGUACGGUAACGGCUUACCAAGGCUACCAUGCGUAUCCGACCUGAGAGGGUGGUAGGCCACACUGGAACUGAGACAAGGUCCAGACGACUAAGGGAGGCAGCAGUAGGGAAUAUUCCGCAAUGGGCGAAAGCAUGACGGAGCAAGGCCGCGUGAGUGAAGAAGGUCUUCGGAUCGUAAAGCCCUGUUAUUAGGGAAGAACAAAUGUGGAAGGAGACAAGGAGGUCUUGACGGUACCGAAUCAGAAAGCAACGGCUAACUACGUG